rnacentral:rRNA from 1 species
UACCAGCACCCCGAGUGGUCGGGACGUUUAUUGGGCCUAAAGCAUCCGUAGCCGGUUCUGCAAGUCCUCCGUUAAAUCCACCUGCUUAACGGAUGGGCUGCGGGGGAUACCGCAGAGCUAGGAGGCGGGAGAGGCAAACGGUACUCAGUGGGUAGGGGUAAAAUCCAUUGAUCUACUGAAGACCACCAGUGGCGAAGGCGGUUUGCCAGAACGCGCUCGACGGUGAGGGAUGAAAGCUGGGGGAGCAAACCGG